rnacentral:rRNA from 1 species
AUGCAGUCGAACGAUUAAAGCUCCCUUCGGGGAGUGCAUAGUAGUGGCGCACGNCCCUUNNANAACACGUUAAGUAAUCUACCUUCGGAUGGGGAAUAACAGUUCGGAAACGACUGCUAAUACCGCAUAAUGCAGCGGCACCUAAUGGUGACAGUUGUUAAAGUAUUUAUACGUCUGAAGAGGAGCUUGCGGCAGAUUAGCUAGUUGGUAAGGUAAUGGCUUACCAAGGCUACGAUCUGUAGCCGACCUGAGAGGGUGGUCGGUCACACUGACACUGAAUAACGGGUCAGACUCCUACGGGAGGCAGCAGUCGGGAAUUUUGGGCAAUGGGCGAAAGCCUGACCCAGCAACGCCGCGUGAAGGAUGAAGUCUUUCGGGAUGUAAACUUCGUAAGAAUAGGAAGAAUAAAUGACGGUACUAUUUGUAAGGUCCGGCUAACUACGUGCCAGCAGCCGCGGUAAUACGUAGGGACCAAGCGUUGUUCGGAUUUACUGGGCGUAAAGGGCGCGUAGGCUGCGUGUCAAGUCAANUGUGAAAUCUCCGAGCUUAACUCGNAACGGUCAAUUGAUACUGAUGUGCUAGAGUGUANAAGGGGCAAUCCNGAAAUCUUGGUGUAGCCNGUGNAAAUGCGUAGAUAUCAUUGAGGGAACACCUUGAGGU